UAAUAUCAUUUGGGUCCAUUCGUAUUGUC
rnacentral:piRNA from 1 species